rnacentral:rRNA from 1 species
GAUGAACGCUGGCGGCGUGCCUAAUACAUGCAAGUCGAGCGAACAGACGAGGAGCUUGCUCCUCUGACGUUAGCGGCGGACGGGUGAGUAACACGUGGAUAACCUACCUAUAAGACUGGGAUAACUUCGGGAAACCGGAGCUAAUACCGGAUAAUAUAUUGAACCGCAUGGUUCAAUAGUGAAAGACGGUUUUGCUGUCACUUAUAGAUGGAUCCGCGCCGCAUUAGCUAGUUGGUAAGGUAACGGCUUACCAAGGCAACGAUGCGUAGCCGACCUGAGAGGGUGAUCGGCCACACUGGAACUGAGACACGGUCCAGACUCCUACGGGAGGCAGCAGUAGGGAAUCUUCCGCAAUGGGCGAAAGCUUGACGGAGCAACGCCGCGUGAGUGAUGAAGGUCUUCGGAUCGUAAAACUCUGUUAUUAAGGAAGAACAAAUGUGUAAGUAACUAUGCACGUCUAGACGGUACCUAAUCAGAAAGCCACGGCUAACUACGUG